rnacentral:misc_RNA from 1 species
GAUGAAGAACGCAGUGAAAUGCGAUAAGUAGUGUGAAUUGCAGAAUUCAGUGAAUCAUCGAAUCUUUGAACGCACAUUGCGCCCCAUGGUAUUCCGUGGGGCAUGCUUGUUCGAGCGUCAUUUACCCCCUCAAGCUCCGCUUGGUGUUGGGCGUCUGUCCCGCUUCGCGCGCGGACUCGCCCCAAAGGUAUUGGCAGCGGUCGUGCCAGCUUCUCGCGCAGCACAUUGCGCUUCUCGAGGCACCGGUGGGCCCGCGUCCAUCAAGCUCACCCCCCCAGUUUGACCUCGGAUCAGGUAGGGAUAACCGCUGAAUUUAAGCAUAUCAAUAAGCGGAGGA